ACAUAUGAAUGUAUGUAUGUAUGUAUGUACAUAUAUACUUACAUAUUGAGAGCUUUGGCUACAAAUUUCUGUUGUGUAUUUGAACACAGCUAAAACCCAUAUGUAUAUCGAAUUGUUGGCCAGGCUUACAGGCUAAAACCGGUCGCCUGUUCGUGAUUAUCGCACGAGAAAAUAACAAAAAUUAAAAAGUCCCCCUCUCCCGAGUGCGGGAAAGUCUCAAAUAAUGCCUGGUGCCUAGGCAGGCGCAGAGCAGAGCAGAGCAAAGCAACGCUGCGCAGCGCAACAAACCGAGCGUCGUCGUUAGCCCAGAUCAAUGAGCUUUGAUAGCUCGGGCAAGACGCCAGCCGCCCAGAGAUCUUUUAAUAUUUAAUGUACACACACACAAACACACACACAGAGCUAAGUACAUGCAAACGCGAAUCAUUGAGAAUGUGCAUUGUAUUCGUGAGUCUGUAUAAUUUCAUUUUAUAGCUGCAAAUAUGUAUGCGUGUGUAUGUGUGUGUGUCUGUAAUAAUUCGUCAUGCUGGCCGCAUUUGAACCCGCAUAGCUGCCAGGCCGAACCGAACCCGAACCCGGCCAGAGAGGCCCAACACCGCCCCUAAAAAAGCAAAUCGAAAACCAAAAACACAUCAAAUUAUUUUUUGCGCUCUUCACACGCCUUUUCGUUUGCUUGUUCGCUCAUUCGCUGAUUACGCUCUUCUCUAGCAAUCGUACUCUCUUUUUGCGCUCGCGCGCGCGCUCUCUUCUAAAUUUGCUGAUCGUGCGCUGGCGCUUCAAGUGGAUUUUACAGUUAUAUAGUAUAGACAGGCAGGCAUGCAUAAAAAGAGAGGGCGUGUGUCUCUCUGUGCGUGUGAAUGUAUGUAUGUGUGUGUGUGUGUGUGUGCGAGAGAGACAGCCGUUGGCUGGCACAAAUAAUUUCGCGCAGCGCUCAAGUCUUUAUUAUUAUUUUAUAUUAUUUGAUUUGUGAAUCACAACAAAAAGCCGUAGAUAUAUGGGUGCACAAAGGUGAUAAAGUCAGCUAACGGAGAAGCAAGAGCCACCGAUCCACUACCGCCUGGCAGGCAGACGCUCUUGUCUUAUCGUAUUGGCCAAAUGCUUGACAAUAAAUUAGAUUUUGUGCAAAUUUAGAAUGAAAUCAAAACUAAAAGCAGCAGCAGUGCACCAAGUGGAUGCGCUCGACU